GACGUAGGGCGCGAGCGUUGUCCGGAUUUAUUGGGCGUAAAGAGCUCGUAGGCGGCUUGUUACGUCGUUCGUGAAAACUUGGGGCUCAACCCCAAGCUUGCGGUCGAUACGGGCAGGCUAGAGUUCGGUAGGGGAGACUGGAAUUCCUGGUGUAGCGGUGAAAUGCGCAGAUAUCAGGAGGAACACCGAUGGCGAAGGCAGGUCUCUGGGCCGAUACUGACGCUGAGGAGCGAAAGCGUGGGGAGCGAACAGG
rnacentral:rRNA from 1 species